UACGUAGGGUGCGAGCGUUGCCCGGAUUUAUUGGGCGUAAAGGGCGCGUAGGCGGCCACGCACGUCCGUUGUGAAAUCGCCCGGCUCAACUGGGCGGGGUCAGCGGAUACGGUGUGGCUAGAGCAAGCUAGGGGGCAAUGGAAUUCCCGGUGUAGUGGUGGAAUGCGUAGAUAUCGGGAGGAACACCGGUGGCGAAGGCGGGACUCUGGGCCGAUACUGACGCUGAGGAGCGAAAGCGUGGGGAGCGAACAGG
rnacentral:rRNA from 1 species